GCCUGGGUGGCUCAGUUGGUUGAGCAUCUGACUUCACCUCUGGUCAUGAUCUCACGGUUCAUGGGUUCGAGCCCCACGUCAGGCU
rnacentral:tRNA from 1 species